GGGUCUAUAGCUCAGUGGUUAGAGCAGUCGACUCAUAAUCGAUUGGUCCAAGGUUCAAGUCCUUGUAGACCCA
rnacentral:tRNA from 1 species